GCGGAGACGCAUGUUUCCGUUCACUCCUCACACCAUCUUCCGCUCGGCGUCAAGUCGGGCGGUU
rnacentral:sRNA from 1 species